CGGUCACGUUCGUUGCUUUCAGAGCCUAAAUGCAUGUGCAAAGCAGCAAAGACAACGCGCCCCCGGAAGGGUGGGGUCAAAGAGCUCGCGACAUACGUUAAGAAUAGGCCCUUAAUGAAACGCAAUUAAGCAGACAGAUCACUCCACGAACUAAGAACGGCCAUGCACCACCUAUCACAUAAUCAUGAAAGGACUAGCAUCUUUCAUGAGAUAAGAAACACCCGAAGGUAAAACUUAUCAAAACUGCCUGUCAGUCCUCAGUGUGUCCGGACCCGGUAAGAUUUCCCGCGUUGGGUCAAAUUAAGCCACAUGCUCCAC
rnacentral:rRNA from 1 species